UGUAAUGAAUGAGGCCACAAUUGGACACUACUUGGUAUGAAUGUGUAAGUUAUGAAUAUAAUGGUGUGGAAUUACGAAAGGUGGCCAAGGGAAAAAUUGGAAUUUUGGAAACUUGCCUUAUGAAUUGCAAAACAUAGCCAAAUUGGGCUUAACAAGAAUUAAUGAAAUGAGGCCCAACUUUAAAGGGCCCAACCGGCCACCCUAUGUCAAGGCCCAUGGAUUAAUUAAAUCCCAUGGGAAAUUAUAUAUCAAGGAUAAGUCUUAAGAAUAUUCAAGAAGUUUCAAGAUCAUAAAAAUUGAGAGGAAAAGAAAGAACCCAUUUCGGGUGAGAAAGAAGAGAAAAGAAAAAGAAAGAAAAAAUUUUUGGAGCCAAUUCUUUGGUUCAAAAAUUCAUCCCUUGUGAGAUUAUGACUAAGUGCAAGGCCCUCUUCAAGUUGGUAUAAAUAUUGGGGCAAGAAAACAAUUUUUAUCUCCAAGUGAAGGGCUUGAAGAAAGAUUUUGGACGAAAUUUGGAGUGACGCCAAGCGAGCAUAAGGCGCCAUCGAGGUACAGACGCACCAGGUGAUACGCCGCCCGCGUAGGCUUCCGACUCUGCUAUUUGAAGAGCUCCUUUGACUCGGAGCAUAUAUUUUUGGUAUAUAUCUUCUGUCUUCUGUACACUCUGUAUGUAUGGAUAUUCUGGGUACGGCGGGGCCCUGUCCCGUCAUAUGAUUCUGUAUGUCUGUAGAGGC